rnacentral:tRNA from 1 species
CGGGAUGUGGCGCAGUUGGUAGCGCGCUACGUUCGGGACGUAGAGGUCGCAGGUUCGAAUCUUGUCAUCCCGACUA